GGAAGGGCCAUAGCUCAGUGGUUAGAGCAUCUGCCUUGCAAGCAGAAGGUCCCAGGUUCAAUCCCUGGCAUUUCCA